rnacentral:rRNA from 1 species
ACGCUCGACACCUACGGGAGGCAGCAGUGGGGAAUAUUGCACAAUGGGGGAAACCCUGAUGCAGCGACGCCGCGUGGAGGAAGAAGGUCUUCGGAUUGUAAACUCCUGUUGUUGGGGAAAAAGNGGAUGGUACCCAACAAGGAAGUGACGGCUAACUACGCGCCAGCAGCCGCGGUAAUCUGAGCGGGCUGGCAAGGC